AUUGAACGCUGGCGGCAGGCCUAACACAUGCAAGUCGAGCGGAUGACGGGAGCUUGCUCCUUGAUUCAGCGGCGGACGGGUGAGUAAUGCCUAGGAAUCUGCCUGGUAGUGGGGGACAACGUUUCGAAAGGAACGCUAAUACCGCAUACGUCCUACGGGAGAAAGCAGGGGACCUUCAGGCCUUGCGCUAUCAGAUGAGCCUAGGUCGGAUUAGCUAGUUGGUGGGGUAAUGGCUCACCAAGGCGACGAUCCGUAACUGGUCUGAGAGGAUGAUCAGUCACACUGGAACUGAGACACGGUCCAGACUCCUACGGGAGGCAGCAGUGGGGAAUAUUGGACAAUGGGCGAAAGCCUGAUCCAGCCAUGCCGCGUGUGUGAAGAAGGUCUUCGGAUUGUAAAGCACUUUAAGUUGGGAGGAAGGGCAGUAAGUUAAUACCUUGCUGUUUUUGACGUUACCGACAGAAUAAGCACCGGCUAACUCUGUGCCAGCAGCCGCCGUAACAC
rnacentral:rRNA from 1 species